AUCAACUUUCGAUGGUAGGAUAGAGGCCUACCAUGGUGGUAACGGGUAACGGGGUGUUAGGGCACGACACCGGAGAGGGAGCCUGAGAAACGGCUACCACAUCCAAGGAUGGCAGCAGGCGCGCAAAUUACCCAAUCCCGACACGGGGAGGUAGUGACAAUAAAUAACAAUACGGGGUUCUUUAGGAUCUCGUAAUUGGAAUGAGUACAAUUUAAAUCUCUUAACGAGGAACAAUUGGAGGGCAAGUCUGGUGCCAGCAGCCGCGGUAAUUCCAGCUCCAAUAGCGUAUAUUAAAGUUGUUGCAGUUAAAAAGCUCGUAGUUGAAUUUCGGGGUUAGUAGGUUGGUCAUGCCUCUGGUAUGUACUGGUCUCACUGAUUCCUCCUUCCUUAUGAACCGUAAUGCCAUUAAUUUGGUGUUGCGGGGAAUUUGGACUGUUACUUUGAAAAAAUUAGAGUGUUUAAAGCAAGCUAACGCUUGAAUACAUUAGCAUGGAAUAAUGAAAUAGGACGUUCGAUCUUAUUUUGUUGGUUUCUAGGAUUGACGUAAUGAUUAAUAGGGAUAGUUGGGGGCAUUAGUAUUCAAUUGUCAGAGGUGAAAUUCUUGGAUUUACUGAAGACUAACUACUGCGAAAGCAUUUGCCAAGGAUGUUUUCAUUAAUCAAGAACGAAAGUUAGGGGAUCGAAGACGAUCAGAUACCGUCGUAGUCUUAACCAUAAACUAUGCCGACUAGGGAUCGGAUGAUGUUAAUUUUUUAAUGACUCAUUCGGCGCCUUACGGGAAACCAAAGUGUUGGGUUC
rnacentral:rRNA from 1 species